ensembl:lncRNA
GGACAUAGUCCCUCCUUCUUUUCCGGAUCAAGAAGAGCAGGAGUGGAGUGACGGAUACUCGUAUCUCAUCGCAAUACAGGCGUGGAGGCGGUCCACCUGCGUCCGUACGACUCAGUCGGAACUCUGCCUGUUUUUGAUGCGAACGAAUUGAGCAGAACUUGCUUGGUGUAGAUAAUGGUUGAGAAGACCCACUUCUAUUUCUCCUGAACCUAAUAUAAUACUGACACAGCGUUGGUGGUCAGUGACCAUUUAUUGGAUGGAUAGGCUAAAGUCCUGGUGGAGUGCCCAAGACCAGAACACUGGGGAGAAACCCUCUGAACUCCUGUCCACACUCCUGUCCACAGUGCAGCCCCCGGGGACACACGUACGACCACUGUGUGGGAGGACCCAACACUCUACAGAGAAUGGAUCAGAGAUCUUACCUCAAGGACAGCACGGUCUAGAAUGCUCCUGACAUGACAGCUUCCAUGACGCCUCUGCACGCAGUGGACUCGUCUGGAACAGACCAGAAGCAAAGGACCACACGGGGACCUCAUGCACCUUGUGGGGGGCAAAGCUCCAGAUCUCCAAGGAACAGGACUCACCUGGGCCAGCUGUCUCUUGACAGGAUGGGGACACCUCUCAGGGACCCCUGUGCACCGUGCUGCUUCCUCUGCAACGAUCAAGAAGCCCUGGAUGAGCAACCUGGAUGCCACCCGGUCACCACGUGUCCUGGAACCCAGAUGGAUGCCACCCGGUCACCACGUGUCCUGGAACCCAGGCAGAGCACCUGGGUUCUCGGAGACACUGGCUGCUUCACAAAUGUGGGCUGUGUUCCCAACCCACGAGCCACACCUUUUAUUCCCAGGACAGAAGUUCAUUACUCCACAUAGGACAACAGCUCAUCUGCAUCUGACAC